GAUGAACGCUGGCGGCGUACCUAAUACAUGCAAGUCGAGCGAACAGACGAGGAGCUUGCUCCUCUGACGUUAGCGGCGGACGGGUGAGUAACACGUGGAUAACCUACCUAUAAGACUGGGAUAACUUCGGGAAACCGGAGCUAAUACCGUAUAAUCUAUUGAACCGCAUGGUUCAAUAGUGAAAGACGGUUUUGCUGUCACUUAUAGAUGGAUCCGCGCCGCAUUAGCUAGUUGGUAAGGUAACGGCUUACCAAGGCGACGAUGCGUAGCCGACCUGAGAGGGGGAUAGGCCACACUGGAACUGAGACACGGUCAAGACCACUACGGGAGGCAGCAGUAGGGAAUCUUACGCAAUAGGCGAAAGCAUGACGGAGCAAGGCCGAGUGAGUGAUGAAGGUCUUCGGAUCGUAAAACUCUGUUAUUAGGGAAGAACAAAUGUGGAAGUAACUAUGCACGUCUUGACGGUACCUAAUCAGAAAGCCACGGCUAACUACGUG
rnacentral:rRNA from 1 species